CACGUAGGAGGCGAGCGUUUGUCCGGAAUCAUUGGGCGUAAAGAGCGCGCAGGCGGCUUGGCAAGUCGGGUGUGAAAUCCCGGGGCUCAACCCCGUGACUGCAUCCGAUACUGUCAGGCUAGAGGUAGGUAGGGGAGAUCGGAAUUCCUGGUGUAGCGGUGAAAUGCGCAGAUAUCAGGAGGAACACCGGUGGCGAAGGCGGAUCUCUGGGCCGUUACCUGACGCUCAGGCGCGAAAGCUAGGGGGAGCGAACAGG
rnacentral:rRNA from 1 species